GCCUGGGGGUGUAGGAUGGCCUGGUGGUGGAGGAGGAGGACCUGCUGGGGUUCCAGGAGGUACGGGGACUCUUGGAAAGCCUAGACAACCAGGGACUGGAGGGACUUGGAGCAUUUCUUCAAAGUAUAAAAGCUACCCAGUGAAGGUCAGUGUGAACAACAAACCAGAUGGGGCAGUCUACCGCCCAAGCACCAAGCCCAUCUCCCUCCCAGAGGGCAAAGGACAACUCUCCAUCCCCAAGGUCAUUUGUACCUUUCCUGCCACGGAUGGAGAUUCAGGAGAACAGGCCCAGAAUGUCAGGUAUGCAAAAGGUUAUGACCCUGGAAACUGGUUCACCAUUGAUGAAGAGACAGCUGAAAUCACACUCAAUAAGAUGCCAGACCGGGAGUCUCCGUAUGUGGUGAAUGGGACCUACCUGGCCAAGAUUCUCUGUAUGACAAAUGACAUGCCCACCCAGACAGCCACGGGGACCAUUGCAGUGCAUGUGGAGGACACUAAUGACAACUGCCCCACGCUCACCAGCCACGUGCAGUACCUGUGCAGUGACACUAAGGUGGUGAAUGUGACAGCAGAGGAUUUGGAUGGAGACCCUAACGGUCCGCCGCUUGAGUUCACGCUGCUGGAUGAGGGUGUGGGGGUGAAGUGGAGGCUUCAGCAGACCGGAGAUGCUUCAGCAGCGCUGUGGGCUGAAGAUGGUCUUUGGCCUGGCCUCUAUGAGGUCACGUUUGAGAUACGAGACAAGCAGGGGUUGGCCUGUCCUGACAGACAGGUCCUCAAAUUGGAGGUGUGCACUUGCCAAGGGGGCUUGACUUCCUGUGCUUUAAAACAGGAACAGAUGCAGUCAGGGGUGACAUCCAGCAAGAAGUCAUCCGAACUGGGAGGAGCCGCAGUGGGAGGGAUGCUGUUAGGCCUCCUCGCACUCCUGUUGGUCCCAUUGAUGGCUUUGUUCUGCUCCUGUGGAGGAACCAGUGGGCUUACAGGAGGCUUCACUGACCUGCCCUUUGACGGCAAGACUCAUCUCAUCUCCUAUCACACCGAGGGAAAGGGAGAGGACCGGGAGGUUCCUCUGAUGAGUGUUCCGGUACUAAUCUCCAAAGUAAUUCCAGUUACUGCUUCCGCAAACAUGGCUACCACCACCAUGGUGAGCAGGCAGAUGCAGGAGAAUGCAUUCGGAGGCUUUUAUGACUAUGAUGAGCCAGAGAUGGGGAACAUGGACUCCAGUGCCCAUUGGGAGUAUACUUCAGAUCUGCCGGAGAUGAGAGAGGAGGAUCAGCUCUCAUUCAUGGCACUACCAGACACCUUUCUGGACCAUUACUUCUCACAGAAAGCAGAGCAUACAGCAGUGACUUCUUGUCCGAAGGACAAUCUGUUGGUGUAUGAAUACGAGGGACAGGGAUCUCCCGCUAACUCUGUGGGCUGCUGCAGCCUCCUCGAGUCUGAGGAAUGACCUCCAGUUUCUUGACGACUUGGGGUCAAAGUUCGCCACCCUCGCCCAGAUCUGUGGAUACUCCAAAGUCACAAGCCCAAAAAUGGACCAUCAGAUCACACCUCCCAUGUCAGAAAUGGACACCAGUAUCAUCAUGACAACCGAUGUUAAAAAACAGACAAGGGAGUCCAGAUCCUCAAGCAUCAGCAACCACGAGGCACCACCUGUGCGCAUGGACAGGAGCGUCAGCUUUGUGGAGGAACACAGCCCACCCCCACUUCCCAGGAUGCAACUGUGCGAGACCAUGGCCAUGCCCACCCAGACUGUGUUGGUGCAGCAGCAGCCCCUGUACUACAUGGUGGAGCCGCAGGUUCAGAGCAGAGUGCUGCUGGCCGAGAGGCCCCCAGUGGGUCUGGGUCAGGGAGUGAUCCUGGUGAACAGGAGCCAGGCAGCCACAGAGAGGGUGCUGCUGCAGAGGGGAGGGCUAGUGCAGGGAGGAGGUCUAAUGCAGGGAGGAGGUCUAGUGCAGGGAGGAGGUCUAGUGCAGGGAGGAGGUCUAUUGCAAGGAAGAGGUCUGCUGCAGGGAGGAGGUUUAGUGCAGAGAGAAGGUCUGCUGCAGGGAAGAGGUCUAGUGCAGGGAGGAGGUCUAGUGCAGGGAGGUCUAAUGCAGGGAGGAGGUCUAGUGCAGGGAGGUCUAAUGCAGGGAGGAGGUCUAGUACAAGGGGGAGGGCUGCUGCAGGGGGGACGUCUAGUGCUGCAGCAGGGCAGGCACGUUCAAGGGGCUCAGGGGAUGCUAAUACAAAAUGGUCCCAUGUUACAGGGAGUCAGCACCCCAACUAGCCCCACGCUACUUUUUCAGGGUGGUCAUACCUUGGUUCAACACACUGAUGGGUCACAACGUGUGGUGCUCGUGCAAAGGCAGCCUGGCGACAUAGCACAGAUGCCAGGCCAGACAUUCACCCCUGCACCCCAGAAGAUGCAUAUGCCCAGACAACAGAGUGUGGUCCUAGUGGACAAGCAGGUAGGGAUGAAGCAAGAUGCCCCAGGAAGUGUCAGAACACUGUGGCCAACAAGUCAUUCAAGUCAUUCAAGUGAAAGUCUAACAAUGCCAGCCUAUGAAAGUGGUCAGAUGAGCAGUGAGAGAGUUAACAUGGCACAAAGCAACAUAACCCAUGUUCCAGUACCACAACCCCAGCAACCCCUUUUCAGCACAGGGUUCCUUGAGGGGUUGGGGGGUCUGGGCCCAGGUCCGGCCCCAGCAGGACACCCGAUGAGCAUACGUGUAGAGGAGGUAAUUUCUGUUGCUACCAUUCCAAAAGUUCCUCAUAUAGCACCAAUAACUUCACAGAUUGAGACUGGGCUGCAGAAGAAAGUGUUUUUUGAGGAAACUGUUGUGGAUUUGACCACAGACACAUCCCAACAAGAGGAGGUCUCAGUGGAGAUCCAGGGGAGCGUUUUGGCUGAGGAACAUGUGGCAGUGGAGGUUGAGUCUUACAACCCUGAACCUCACCUGAAGAUAGACAGCGUGGAAAAAGCCACAGUUGUGCCAGAAGAUCUGUCUGAUGACCUUGGUGAGCCUGAUGGUGACGCCACUGUAGACCAUGGGGAAAGCCUGCCUGUGUCCUCACAGGACGUGACCGUAUCAUCACAAAUGUCAGUGACUGAGGACCCUACCCAACACAAUGUCCCUAAGGUGGCAGAGGGGAAUUUAACAGGAGCAAUACUUGGAAACACAGAUUCUGGGUGGACAGUGGAUCACUAUUCAUCUGACACAACUCUUCUCUCUGUACCUGAGGUAUCCCCAGGUGACUCUGACAUCAUUGAUCUGGUAGCAGACCAGAUCAGUGCUGGUCACUCAUUGCAGUGCGAUUCAGGAAUGGUGGAUGAUACAACCUCUCUGUCAGUGGGUGAAUUGGUGUCUUCAACAAACGACACACAUGCUGAGGAGAUUGAAAAUAAGGUAUCCAGUAUAUCACUUGAAAACACUCCUGAAGCAGAAGAGUUAGGCCCUGGGGAGGGAGAAGCAAGCUAUGUCGAUGGACCCACAGAAUUAACUCCUACGGUAGACAUUCCAGUUUCACUUCAAGAGAUAACAGAUGUUUCAGAGACUGAACUUCAAUCUCGUACCCUGGAGCUGGAUAUAGACAAGAGCCCCGGCCCAGAGGUAUCUCUGGAAACCUUCCAGGGUACUGACCCAGCAGAGAUAGAAGCUUUGGAGGUCACUCUCCUACAAAUGCAGCAGGUUGCAAUCGGUCAAGAGUUGGUAAGGACAGCCUCGCCGUCAGCUGCACCCCAUGACCAAAUCACCACACUUGACCAGGAGAACUUGGAGGAGGGCAAAGAUGUUUGCAUAGAGGGUGAGAGUGUGAUUUUGAGUCCGGUAGUGACCUCUAUGUCUGAGAUGAGUGAGGUAACUGCAAAUGAAUCUCUGGAGCCCAAUGCUGUGGAGAGGCAUACAAUAGAUCCAGCCUAUGUGGAGGAAGAGAGUGAGGUGGAAAUGGUAAUAGAAUACGCUGGACAAAUGCCAGAGGGUGAAACAUCUGGACAAGAUGUGAAGGAACAUCUGGAUCUGCUGAGUGAGGAUGACUCUAACAUGGACAUCCCAGAAGCAGACAAGCCAAUGCAAGCAGAGAUGGAACCCCUAAGGGAAGCUGAGCAGGACUUACAGGGUGGAUCUUUGGAGGUCUCUGAAAAUCAAUCAGAAAGGAAUGAAGAGGAACAGGAGCCCAUAAACAAAGGGGACAUGUCUGAUGCAGGGAGCAUGGAGGUACAGUGCUCCACAGCCCAUUCAGACCAAACAGAGGGAGGUCUAGUACAGGGGGGAGGUCUAGUGCAGGGAGGAGGUCUAAUGCAGGGAGGGCUACUCCAGGGAGGAGGUCUAGUGCAGGGGGAGGUCUAAUGCAGGGAGGGCUACUGCAAGGAGGAGGUCUAGUGCAGGGAGGAGGUCUGGUGCAGGGAGGAGGUCUAGUGCAGGGAGGAGGUCUAGUGCAGGGAGGAGGUCUGGUGCAGGGAGGAGGUCUAGUGCAGGGAGGAGGUCUAACGGGGGUGAAGGGGGCAGUUGUCCCGGGUUCCAGUCCUGAGCAGACUAACCUGGAACGAGCAGAGAGCCUGGUAAUAUAGAGGCUCAGGGGAUGAUAUAAUACAAAAUGGUCAACAUGUGGUCCAUCAAGGAGACGGGCUGGUACAGGGAGGGCAGAUGGUAGAGGUGCAGGGGAGUCAGCAGCACAGUCCUGGAUCUCCGACCAUGUUUCUGAUGAACGAAGGGCAGACACUUGGGCCCGGAUCCCCUCUCACCAGCCAGCCUCUGCAUGCAGCCAACACGUGCGGCUCUCCAGUGCUGCUUGUGGACGGAGGCAUGAGGCAGGGAGGGGAAAUCCGGCUAGACACCAUGCAGCGAGAUUCUACUAAGGCUCAAAAGAGGCAGGUGGCCAAAGGGCAGGUUGUGCAUGGGUCUCAAUUUUUUGUGGAAGCACAGACCUUACCCAGCAGUCCGAUUCUUCAGGGGGGUGGGCACAUCCAAAGAGAACCCCGGAGAAGGUCCAGUAGUGGUAGAGUGUGUGUGGGUGGCCCCAUGCCCCCCAUGCUGCUACAAGCUCAUACCUGGAGUGAACACUCAGCAAGGGCUAGAGAGAACCACAAAACACUGACCAACGUAACAUUCUGUCAGUGACAGAUGGGAAAGUGUGAAUAACAACUUCAUGGAAUCUUCCACCGCAGCACCUAAUGGAAUAAGCUCUUGCUGGUGAUCAACAUUAAUCACCUCUUCCUAGGAACUGUACAUAGAGCUGCAUAUAAUAUUUUCUGAGAUCAGUGUAAAAUAUCCUCGAUCCUAUGUGAUAUGUAUAUGUGCUGUAGUAUAGAUUGUAUGUGUCAUGAUUUGGGACCUUCUGGCCUCUAGACUUAUUUAGCUUUUGUAAGCCACUACUUUCAAGAUCAGUCAAUAAAUAUUGCUGGUUUUGACUUAUAUGUUGCCCCCUUCUUUAUGUUGUUACUGGACAUAUCAUGUGUCCUGUUACGCUAUGUUACAUCAUACAACUUUUGAGACAUGUGGAUAAUGAAAAAGUGGGAUAUUUUAAGGUGGAGCCACAUCAUGUUUGCUUAUGAAGGCUCCUGGAUGCAACUUUCUUUCAUAGCUUUCCACCUGUAACUAGCUACUCUAGCUAUGUAGGUAGAGGGGAAAUAUUUCUGUUGUGUGCUCCCAUCUAGUGGACAAAAAGGUAUUGCUGUAUGAGUUAAUCAGCUAACAACAAAUUGAUACAAUUGUCU
ensembl:lncRNA